AAAUUAGGGGAUUUCAGUCUUCACAUGAAUGCUUCGGUUUCAGAUGACUUCAAUCGUCGCCCCCAUUCAAUUUAACCCAAUCGAUAUCUCAACUGUUGCACUUGAAAUCCUUCUCUCUAGCAACAAUAGAUAAAAACUUCAUGAUUGAAAGAAGAACAACAGCUUGAAAUUCCACAAACUUUGUAUUUCAAUCGCCAUAGGUUUAUCCAAAAACGAAAAAUGGCCAGCAGUAGCAACAGCAAGAAAGAAGUGAUUCGAUUGGGAGGGGCGAUUUGAGCAGGUGAAUUUGAUUAUUGUUCGAUCGGCUACCCUACUUCUCUUUAUCAUUCUAAUUGAUUCGACUUGGGCGGUGCAGUGGUCUCCUUGCCCCUUCAUAUUCCUUGAAAACCCUAGCACAACAAAAGCAUCUGGAAUGUUAGUAAAUUGAGAAGCAAUCAGAAAACCGUUCGGACUUCUUCGGUGAAAGUUGUAUAUUUCGGUGAUUAUCCGUCACUAGACAAGAAUUCAAGGGGGAGAAUAUGGUCCAUUAGGUGAAUUAAUAACAUAUCUUGGGGUUUAAUAUGAGGGCUAAAAAAGGUCCAAAGGGAUACAGGUGUCUUCUCCAUCAACAUGUCCAAAAGUUGAAGAAACCACCCCCGGUAUAUCAAACACAAAAUGAAGGAUCCGACCAUAAUCCAAGGUUCAGAUCCACUGUUUCCGUAGAUGGUGUGAGCUACACAUCGUCAAGCACAUUUCAACUUCGUAAGAUUGCCGAGUUGGAUGUUUCAAGAAUUGCAUAUACUGCCAUAACGCAGAAGGAAAAAACUGAAGCAUUGCAGUUUAUACAACAGGUAUACAAUUUUAUACCCUAUGGAAAUGAGUAAUAGUGUAAAUUUAAUGAUCGAAUAUGAAAUUAGAUGUGAUACUACUAUGAGUAUGCAUACUCUCAAGGUCUUGGUCAAAGAGAGCUCAGCAGAAGUCAAAAUAGUUAGUUCGCUUACCGAGUGGUACAAUGCGAUUCGGUUAUGUAACAACCGCGAGGAAAGGUUGCAGGUGUAUAACCUGAUUGAAUCUAAAGUUCAAGACGGCGGUAACUGUCAAGUCGGUUAUGUUUUAUAAAACCAGAAAAUUCUGAUAUAACUGUAACCUUUUUUUUAUGCUAUAUAUAAAAUGGUAACUACUAAAGCAUUUGGAACCAAAAUGGGUCAAUUUUUUCACUCAAUGGGUCAAAAUGGAUCAAUUAAAAUUCCAUCUCACAUAUUUUCGGGGCAGAACGGGUCGACAACUUCAAAGAAAUAGAUCAAUGUGGGUUGGUGUCUUAAAGAAACGGGACAAGUUUCGGAUCGGAACGGGUUCGGUUCGGAUCGAGUUUCGGAUCGGAACGGAACGUAGUUGGUUUGAAUCGAAUUUCAGGUCGGCACGGGUUUCGGGCAGACAUGACUUUUCGCACGGGACAAGGUUCACGUCGGGACGGAUUUUAGCACUAGAUGGGUUUCAGUUCGGUUUUUUUUUGUUGGGGUCGGUUAUUUUCGGUUUCGGUUGAGAUUUUUUGUUUCGUUUUGGUUUCUUUUUUCAUUCGAUUUUUUUUAUUUUUUUUGUUUCGUUUUGGUCGGUUUCAGCUUUUUUGGAAAAGGACCCGACUCGAAACCCGUUCUGACCCGGACUUGCUCAAAAAGUUGAAGUCUUUUUCAUUUCUGAAGUUGGAAAGUAACAAAUUUCCAAUAUUUCAUCUAAAUUUGAAUAAUUAUUUGCACUCUUUUGAGUUCAAUGUUGAUCACAGCAGUUGGAGGGCUUCAAUACAUCAGUACCAAAAGGGUAAAACACGAUACGCUCAUUACCGGCAAACAGAUUAUCUAUUAGCAGAGUCAGGGUGGCAUUGCAGCUUCUGUUUCUGAAAAAUUACAGAUUUUGUAUUCAAGAUGAAAGCUAUUUUGUAUUCAAGAUGAAAGCUUACAGCCACAUGGAUCGAGUCAGGUUCUCACACUUUCUUGACCCGAAAAUGAUUCAGAAUGUAAUAUGCAACGGUUAUGACUUGUACAAUAUGCUUCCCGAAGAGUACACGUUUAAGGAUAUCAUAGCGAAAAUGGGUCCAAUUUCUCAUUCUUAUUCAGCAGUCCAUCAUCCAUCAUAUCUAUUAAACAAUGCAGAUGAAUACAGAUUGAAUAAUGAAAUCAAACGUUUCCGUUGCCUUCCCUCAACCCUAAUCAAUCAAAACACCGCGAUGAACAAUCGUCAGUUAUGGCCUUUCAAUUGAGGCGUGAUUGAAACCAAUUGAAGACGCGAAUUGAAUCCACCCCUUCGCUUCCGGAUCCCACCCCCCUUUAAACUCAACAUUUUGUCAUUUAGGAUGCGACACCUGCGACUUCAGUUGCUUACCCUAAGGGUUUGUGUGAUAGAUGAAUUAAAACAUGAUCGUGUAAUCUCUUGUGAAUAUAUCCAUAUCUACAACAUCAACGAGUGAAUUAAUAGAGGAAGUAAGAGAUCUCUACAAUUUCUUACCAAUGCUACUAGAAAAGCAAUACCGUUAGCUGCUGGAUUUGUCAGACAGGUGGUGGCAAGAGAGGUUGGUGGUCUUGUAGUCGAUAUGAUCCGCCAGAAAAAGAUGGCUGGAAGGGCACUUCUACUUGCUGCACCUUCGGGUCUCAUUUUGUCCCAUGGUUGGAUCAGAAGUCUACUCAUCGAAAGUAAAGAAAACCGAGGUUUUGAUGGAGAAUUUCAAGGGGUGGCAUAGCUUGUCCCCGGUGUCUUAUUUACCGACGAGGUACAUAUGUUGGAUAUGGAGUGUUCAUGUUCUAAUCGAAUCCAAUCUCCAUUCAAUUCGCAUGACCCUUAGCAAUCCCCAAUUGAAUGUGGUGCUCAGUGUGCUUUGUUGAUGGUUAAACCUGAGUGAGCGGAAAAGAUAUUUGUUCACUCCAAUUUUGUCCCGUCCGACUUUUACAUAGACUGUGUUCUUCGUUUUAUGCUUAAUUUUCGGUUUUUGUUGUUAUUUUAAGUUACAUAUUGUUUUUUUUUUUCUUCUUUUGAUUUUUUUUUGGUUUUUCAUCCUUCUCUGAUGAAAAGAAACAAAUUUUGUUAUUUUUUAAACCCCUCCGUUUGUGCUAACUAUUUAUCACAAAGACACGUGUAGGAGCAGGUGUGAGUCUUUCAUCCCUCAUCUCUCUCCCAACUUUUUUCAUGUUUCUUAAUAUGAUCAUAUGAGGUUUUACCCAUAUGAUCUGUCAAUUGUAAGAUAGAAGUGUGUGUAAUUGAAACUAAUGAUUCACAGAAACUAUGAGCAAAACCUUUUAGCCUGAAAAAGAUGAUGAUUCUGAAGAGAUUAAGAACAAGAAUUAAGUGGCUCUUCUUUUUUGGUAUACCCAUUUUUAGUUCUGGGAGGGUUGGUUAUCAUGUCAUGUAAAGGUAAUAAAGCUUUGACCUUCAACUCUUAGGGUUUCAAGAAUUUAAAAAUGUUACUGCUUUUUGUUAUGUUCAACAUAAAUUAUAACAAUUUGUUAUGGUUUUUAUGUUUACAUCUUGUAUUUAUAUUUAUAUUUUCUAUGACUACGUUCACUCGGAGAGUAAGAUGGUUUUUUUUUUUUGGCUUUAUUGGAUAAGAACUAGCAUUUUAAAUAAACGAAUAAAGAUGCGAGUCUGUUGGACACAAAGUUUUAUAUUUUUAAAACACCAACAAUUCUUUGUCCGAGUGAACGUAGUCAUAGUAGGAAGUAAAUGAAUUCCCUAGCAUAGGCUUUCUGAUGUUAAACGGGUCGAAUUCAAUGGGUCCUAAGUCAUUUUCCGGUUAUCUAUAUGUUGUUUUGAAUCGUACAUUGUAGAUCAAUUCUAUCUUUAUUAACUUUUCAUGACAGAUUCUAAAACUAACAACAUUUGUUGACUUUGUCAGGUCCAAGUAAAAAAAGGCUAAGAAAGUUGCUGAAAUGAACAUUGAUUCUUUAAAGGCUGUUGGAAAUGGAAGUAUCUUUAUACUGGUAGGCUAUAUUUGUUGUUAUGGAACUAUAAGAAGCUUAAUGUAUGUAUGUGUUAUAAGACAUUGUUAUUAACCGUUGACCUGUUUGACGUAUUUUUUCUUCUUUCAUUUGUAGCCGAGUACCUUUGCUCCCAUUUGACCCACCAUAGAUAAAAAAAAUAAUCAAAAUUACUUAUUGCGUUGUUUGGAGCAGAAUGUGACACUUCGAGGAAAACAAUCUACUACUAGAAAGUAGAAAUCACACUCUUAGUAAUCUAGGCUGGGAUUAACUUAAAUGAGCACAUUAUUUUUGACGGUUCCAACUCUGGUAGCACUGGAUGGAAGUGGAAAAGUAGAGGGAAGUGUGUUUAUUUUUUGGUCAAACAGGUAAAGAGCGACUUGGAGGUGUGUGGGCAGCCGAAUAUCCAAGGCCAACAAUUCAAAUGCAAUAAGCUCGCAGUCCCAAAGGUCAAAUUUUUUUGUGAGGAGGGCCAUUAAUGGCAAUAUCGCGUCUGCUACAGCAUUGGCGACUAGAGGAGUGCAGAUUGGGAACGACCGAUGCAGAGUUUGCGGCAUACAGGUUGAUUCAUGUGGAAAAAAAUUGUCGCAGAUGAUAUUGGACAAGAACAUAGAACACUAGAUCAUGAUAUUGACUUAUAUAUGUUUUUUAUAUCGUUUUAAGGUUUGAAUUAUGCUCCUGCCCGUUAUUGUUAACUUCGCGGCAACGCGCGGGUUACCCACUAGUUUAAAAAAGUAAAUUACUUUUUAAGUUCAUAUGUUUUAAUGAUUUUAAUCAUUUAAAAUUAAAAAGUUUAACAC